UCUAUUUUGACAAGAACUUUAUCCAAUUUCGUAUUUCAAACAAAGCUCGACUGCUUAAGCCCAUAUACUGCUCCAUUCAGCUUUAAAACAUGACCAUCAUCACUUUUAAUUGGAAUGCCAUCAGGUCAUAUUUCGCUGCUAAAGCCAUAAGAAAACGUAUUGAAGUGUACCUUACUGCAGGCGAACAUGUUUCGUCGUAGUCAAUUCCUUUUUUCUGUUUGUAGCCCUUUGCUACUAAACUGGCUUUAUAUCAAACUAGCUGACCCGGGCCCGCUCCGCUGCGCCUUCUUUUACUUUAUAUGGAGCAAAAGUUUCUUUGGGAUAUUUAUUUUCGACAAUUAAAGAGCUUUUAGUGAAAUACCAUGCUACGAAAAUACAAUAGUA